rnacentral:tRNA from 1 species
GGGUCGUUAGCUCAGUUGGUAGAGCAGUUGGCUUUUAACCAAUUGGUCGUAGGUUCGAAUCCCACACGACCCACCC